AGUGAACGCUGGCGGUAGGCCUAACACAUGCCAGUCGAACGGCAGCACAGUAAGAGCUUGCUCUUACGGGUGGCGAGUGGCGGACGGGUGAGGAAUACAUCGGAGUCUACUUUUUCGUGGGGGAUAACGUAGGGAAACUUACGCUAAUACCGCAUACGACCUACGGGUGAAAGCAGGGGAUCUUCGGACCUUGCGCGAUUGAAUGAGCCGAUGUCGGAUUAGCUAGUUGGCGGGGUAAAGGCCCACCAAGGCGACGAUCCGUAGCUGGUCUGAGAGGAUGAUCAGCCACACUGGAACUGAGACACGGUCCAGACUCCUACGGGAGGCAGCAGUGGGGAAUAUUGGACAAUGGGGGCAAGCCUGAUCCAGCCAUACCGCGUGGGUGAAGAAGGCCUUCGGGUUGUAAAGCCCUUUUGUUGGGAAAGAAAAGCAGCAGGUUAAUACCCCGCUGUUCUGACGGUACCCAAAGAAUAAGCACCGGCUAACUUCGUG
rnacentral:rRNA from 1 species